rnacentral:tRNA from 1 species
AACUUUUAAAGGAUAACAGCUAAUCC